AAGUCCUGUAGACUCAGCAGAUCCUGGGGGAUCCAUACUCCACAUCAGAUUUGACAUAUUCUAUAGAUGUCUCUAUCAAGGAUCUAAGUACAAUUUUGUCUUCUUCUGACCACGUGUAAACACAGACAAAGAACUUCAAGGACAAAGAGAAUGAAGGGGUACUUCCAGUUUCAGCAAAGGAUUUCAAAUGACCAUUCAUUGAAAUUAUCCAUAUUAGUCAAUGGCCCAACGUCCUUGAUUUGAAGCUUCUCAACGACUCAUAAUGUGUUGACACUCUUCUCCAACGUCUCUCAAAUCCCUACCUAUAUAAGGAGCUGAAGAUCUGAAGAAAAUCAACAAGACUCUGCUAUUUUAGUGUACCAUUACUCGUUAGCAUAGAGAUAAACUUUCGUUACUCGUCAGCAUGAUCCAUACUCAAUUUCUAGAAUAAAGCUCAUUUCUUGCAUGGAAAUAACUAAUGUAUUUUAAUAGAUAAUGUGCUUUGCACUUAUCAGAUAAAUAAGAAUGCUCAAUGCUAAAGAUAUGAAAGUUAACAAAUAAGGGGUUAUAUAGUUGGUUUGGUGAAAGAGUUACAGAGUAGGGAGAGUGAUCUUGAGUUUGAUUUCCACCUCUAGCAAAUAUACUAACAAAUUAACAAUUAACAUAAAUUACUGGGUAGAAAGAAAAGUAUAACUAACAAAAAUUAAAAGGGUCGGAGUAAUAUUUACUAACAACAGUUUAUAGUUUAAUUUGGAAAACAUCAAUAGUAUGGGUGAUAAAGUGUCAUAUUUAUAAAUCAAUCGAAAUUUGGAAGUGUGAAAAAAGGUAGACUUAAUACCAGAUCGAAAUUCAACUUCAACAAGAAAAUUAGGUGAGGAUAUUUUAUGAAAUAAAAAUUUAACAUUCUUAGUAAAAAAUAUGUUUUUUUUUUUUAAAAGCUAAAAUGGAAUUUCUUAAAAUUCAAAUGAAUCUUAACCAGCAUAAGGAGUGCUAAGCUAAGAGUAAGUAGCAACAUACAAAGAAUAGAUGGGGAGCCCCCAAUGGAAAACCCAUAUACACUCGUGCAUCAAAGAAAAAAAAUCCAAACAACCCUAUAGGAAAUGCCUCGUAUCAAAGAGUUAUCUCUGAAAUCAAUAAAUAGAAACACCAAAAACAAAGUUAUCACCACGAUCAACGAAACAACAUAAACAAAAGUUGUACCAAAAUCCUCAAACAUUGUCACAACUGCCACAAAAACAACUUCCACCACCUACAUACCACUACUGGUACACAACCCCCGAACAAUAACGUAAAAAUCUACACAACAACCAACAACCUUUGAAAAACUGUCGGGAAUAAAACCCCAAACAUCACCAUUAGCCCUCCCAAACACCUUCAUCCAACACACACCUCCCAAAGAACCGCAAAAGCCAAACAAAAACCCUUGUACCAUCAUACAAUAAGGAAAAAACAUAACCAUCACUAAACAUCACCAAAAACCACCACUAGCCACCACAAACACCACCACCGUCACCAAAACUAUCAUUAACCAC
rnacentral:lncRNA from 1 species